AAUCAACGCUGGCGGCGUGCCUAACACAUGCAAGUCGAACGCGAAAGCCCCUUCGGGGGUAAGUAGAGUGGCGUCCGGGUGAGUAACACGUAGGUAAUCUACCUUCGGGUGGGGAAUAACUCGCCGAAAGGCGAGCUAAUACCGCAUAAUGCAGCGGCACCUAAUGGUGAUUAGUUGUUAAAGCGGGGGAUCGUAAGACCUCGCGCCUGAAGAGGAGCCUGCGGCAGAUUAGCUAGUUGGGAGGUAAUGGCUCACCAAGGCUUCGAUCUGUAGCUGGUCUGAGAGGACGGCCAGCCACACUGGCACUGACACACGGGCCAGACUCCUACGGGAGGCAGCAGUGGGGAAUUUUGGGCAAUGGGCGCAAGCCUGACCCAGCAACGCCGCGUGAGGGAGGAAAUCCUUCGGGAUGU
rnacentral:rRNA from 1 species